GAUGAACGCUGGCGGCGUGCCUAAUACAUGCAAGUCGAGCGAACAGACGAGGAGCUUGCUCCUCUGACGUUAGCGGCGGACGGGUGAGUAACACGUGGAUAACCUACCUAUAAGACUGGUAUAACUUCGGGAAACCGGAGCUAAUACCGGAUAAUAUAUUGAACCGCAUUGUUCAAUAGUUAAAUACGGUUUUUCUGUCACUUAUAGAUGGAUCCGCGCCGCAUUAGCUAGUUGGUAAGGUAACGGCUUACCAAGGCAACGAUGCGUAGCCGACCUGAGAGGGGGAUCGGCCACACGGGAACUGAGACACGGUCCAGACUCCUACGGGAGGCAGCAGUAGGGAAUCUUCCGCAAUGGGCGAAAGCCUGACGGAGCAACGCCGCGUGAGUGAUGAAGGUCUUCGGAUCGUAAAACUCUGUUAUUAGGGAAGAACAAAUGUGUAAGUAAAUAUGCACGUAUUGACGGUACCUAAUCAGAAAGCCACGGCUAACUACGUG
rnacentral:rRNA from 1 species